AACGAACGCUGGCGGCAGGCCUAACACAUGCAAGUCGAGCGCGCCCUUCGGGGUGAGCGGCGGACGGGUGAUUAACGCGUGGGAACGUGCCCUUUUCUACGGAAUAGCCUCGGGAAACUGAGAGUAAUACCGUAUACGCCCUUUGGGGGAAAGAUUUAUCGGAAAAGGAUCGGCCCGCGUUGGAUUAGGUAGUUGGUGGGGUAAUGGCCUACCAACCCGACGAUCCAUAGCUGGUUUGAGAGGAUGAUCAGCCACACUGGGACUGAGACACGGCCCAGACUCCUACGGGAGGCAGCAGUGGGGAAUCUUAGACAAUGGGGGCAACCCUGAUCUAGCCAUGCCGCGUGAGUGAUGAAGGCCUUAGGAUUGUGAAGCUCUUUCAGCUGGGAAGAUAGUGACGGUACCAGCAGAAGAAGCCCCGGCUAACUCCGUG
rnacentral:rRNA from 1 species